rnacentral:rRNA from 1 species
CCUACGGGAGGCUGCAGUGGGGAAUAUUGGACAAUGGGGGGAACCCUGAUCCAGCCAUGCCGCGUGUGUGAAGAAGGCCCUCGGGUUGUAAAGCACUUUCAGUGAGGAAGAACGCCUGGUGGUUAAUACCCAUCAGGAAAGACAUCACUCACAGAAGAAGCACCGGCUAACUCCGUGCCAGCAGCCGCGGUAAUACGGAGGGUGCGAGCGUUAAUCGGAAUUACUGGGCGUAAAGCGCGCGUAGGUGGCUUGAUAGGCCGGUUGUGAAAGCCCCGGGCUCAACCUGGGAACGGCAUCCGGAACUGUCAAGCUAGAGUGCAGGAGAGGAAGGUAGAAUUCCCGGUGUAGCGGUGAAAUGCGUAGAGAUCGGGAGGAAUACCAGUGGCGAAGGCGGCCUUCUGGACUGACACUGACACUGAGGUGCGAAAGCGUGGGUAGCAAACAGGAUUAGAUACCCUAGUAGUC